GACGAACGCUGGCGGCGUGCUUAACACAUGCAAGUCGAACGGAAAGGCCCCUUUGGGGGUACUCGAGUGGCGAACGGGUGAGUAACACGUGAGUAACCUGCCCUUGACUUCGGGAUAACUUCAGGAAACUGGGGCUAAUACCGGAUAGGAAUCCUUGCUGCAUGGUGGGGGUUGGAAAGCUUCGGCGGUUUUGGAUGGACUCGCGGCUUAUCAGCUUGUUGGUGGGGUAGUGGCUUACCAAGGCUUUGACGGGUAGCCGGCCUGAGAGGGCGACCGGCCACAGUGGGACUGAGAUACGGCCCAGACGCCUACGGGAGGCAGCAGUGGGGAAGAUUGCACAAUGGGCGGAAGCCUGAUGCAGCAACGCCGCGUGCGGGAUGACGGCCUUCGGGUUGUAAACCGCUUUCAGCAGGGGCGAAGCUUGUGGUGACGGUACCUGCAGAAGAAGCACCGGCUAACUACGUG
rnacentral:rRNA from 1 species